rnacentral:lncRNA from 1 species
CUAACCAUCAGGAAGUUCUGGCCUGAGGAGGCGACGGGAACUGACCCAAGGCACACAGUCCGACAGCAUCAAAGCUGGGCCUCGAAUCCGGUGCUCUGCGGCCGGGGCCGCCCAGCUGCUGAGCGAACGGGACUCUGGCCCGCAGAAGGAAGGGAGGGGCCCCGCUCCCCACCUGGGAACCGGCGGAGACGGGCGCUCCCUGCCGAGCCGUGCGGCCGGCGCAGGGGCGGCCCCGGGAGCCCGGAACGCUACGCGGGAAGGCGCAGGGAGGCGGGCGCGGAGGCGGGCGGCCUCGGAGGCGGGCGGGGCGGGGCGGGGCGGGGCGGGGCUUCGGCAGCCAGAGGCGGGAGUCGGAGGAUCGGGGCGGGGCCUGGAGGUUCGCGGGCUGACCCGGGCAGUGGGCGGGGCCCGCGAGGCCGAGGACCGGGUCAGGCCCGUGGGCGGGGCUCGGCGGCGCCCUCGGGUCGGUUCGGAAGCCGUGGGAGGGGAGGCGGGCCGCGGGCUGCAGGGGCAGCGGGCGGGGCUCGCAGGCGCCGCGGCUCCGGCUUUGAGGGGCUCUGCGGGAAUCUCCGAGGAGCCGGGCGGGCCGGAGGGCGGAGCUCUGAGAACGCCCCUCCCGGUUCUGAGGGGCAGCGGGCGUGGCCCGGGGGCGCCCGGAGGCGUGGCCCUGGGGGUGGACUCGUGGGCGGCGCGUGGGCUCGGCUGCCGCCUCCCUCCGCAGCCCACUCGCACCCCCCGGCGCGACCAGAGGGGGCGCUAGGGAGAGCGGGGCGGGCUUCCCCUCCCGGAAGUGGGCGGGGCGCGCCGCAGCCCGAGGCCCCGGGUUGGGCGCGGCGCGGCGCGGGGGCGGGGCCUGCGUGCGGCGGCGGCGGCGGCGGCGGCUGCCCGCGCCCCUCCCCCGCGCGGCGCUCAGUGCCAGGCGGGAGGCGGCAGCGGUUGGAGGCUUCGCCGGGCUGUGCAGCGGGGACUUCGGCGGCGGCGGCGCCUCGGCACCUCGGCCCUGAGAGAAGGCUCUUUGGAGCUACUACUAAGGUAAUUCUUUGCCCUGGUUUUUGACUCCCUCUGGGCGCACUUUCUGUUUCCCAACAUUUGUCACAGCAGCACAUUAAUAGUAGUGGGACUAUUUGAUUAUGAUGCAUCUCUUCCAGCAGAUUGUAAGCUGCAUGAGAGCUAGGGCCAGUCUCCUUGCUCACUAUUGUCUGCCAUGUCUAGCAUGAUGCCAAGCAUGUGAUCAAAGAUUAAUAAAUAUUUGAAUAAAUGCAUGAUGAAUGACAAGGAUUAAAGACCUACUCAGUAUUCACAGAUGAGUGUAUGUGUUGUGUGUAUAACCCUGUGAGUGCUAGUAACUAAAUUCUCAGUGAAUUGUGUGUCUUUUAUGGGUUGUGGACUGGAUCCCAGUGAAAGAAGCAUUUCAUUUCCACUUGUAGGCUUUAGAUUAUAAUAGGAUCCCUAGAAUAACAUCUUUUGUUAGUUGUCCAUUUUAUAGAUGAAGAAACCAACAACCAUAGUACAAAAAUAAUUUAGUGGUUAAGGGACUAUGUCAGGAUAAACUUGUGUCUUACAUCUAAGCCAGAGUUUUCCUUCUCUCUGUUCCCUUGAAACAUUGUCGGGAGUAUAUGUUUACUUACCGCCCAGGGUAUAGGGUAUUAAAAAGGGA